UGGGGAAUUUUGGACAAUGGGCGAAAGCCUGAUCCAGCAAUGCCGCGUGUGUGAAGAAGGCCUUCGGGUUGUAAAGCACUUUUGUCCGGAAAGAAAUCCUUGGCUCUAAUACAGUCGGGGGAUGACGGUACCGGAAGAAUAAGCACCGGCUAACUACGUGCCAGCAGCCGCGGUAAUACGUAGGGUGCAAGCGUUAAUCGGAAUUACUGGGCGUAAAGCGUGCGCAGGCGGUUUGCUAAGACCGAUGUGAAAUCCCCGGGCUCAACCUGGGAACUGCAUUGGUGACUGGCAGGCUAGAGUAUGGCAGAGGGGGGUAGAAUUCCACGUGUAGCAGUGAAAUGCGUAGAGAUGUGGAGGAAUACCGAUGGCGAAGGCAGCCCCCUGGGCCAAAUACUGACGCUCAUGCACGAAAAGCGUGGGGAGCAAAACAGGAUUAGAUACCCUGGUAGUCCACGCCCUAAACGAUGUCAACUAGUUGUUGGGGAUUCAUUUCCUUAGUAACGUGCUAACGCGUGAAGUUGACCGCCUGGGGAGUACGGUCGCAAGAUUAAAACUUAAAUGAAUUGACGGGGUCAUAGCUGUUUCCU
rnacentral:rRNA from 1 species